GCGGGCGUGGUGAAAUGGUAGACACAAGGGACUUAAAAUCCCUCGCCGAUAGGCAUGCGGGUUCGAGCCCCGCCGCCCGCA
rnacentral:tRNA from 1 species